ACCCUACGGAGUGCUCAGGUCCGCCGCAUCUCCUGGGUCCGUGGGGUUUGGCUGGCCGGUGGGCGGUUUGAGUGGCCUCCUCGUAAACGCCGUCCGCCGGCCGGCCACC
rnacentral:sRNA from 1 species